rnacentral:SRP_RNA from 1 species
GCUGGGCGUGGUGGUGCACGCCUGUAAUUUCAGCUACUUGGGAGGCUGAGGCAGGAGAAUUGCUCGAACCUGGGAGGUGGAGGUUGCAGUGAGCUGAGAUCCUGCCACUGCAUUCCAGCCUGGGUGACAGAGUAAGACUCUGUCUCAA